GCCCUGUUGAACUGACCGGGUUUAGAAGCUCGAGGCGAGGCCCGCCGGCUGGCUCCUUGACGCGCCACCGCAGAUUCCUCGACCAUCCUCAACGCUGCCAUCCCUCCUCCGGCAACCUGCUCUUCUUCUCCCCGGAGUGUCAGGUGGAAUCAAGCUUGAUUAUGAAAUCUUGGAAAGUAUAUAACACUGUUCUUGCAUGUUCAGAACUUACAUGCAAACUGACAAUAGGUGCGAGCUGCUCGAGCAUCAAGACCAGAUGUUGGCUCGUCCAUAAAAAUGAUCGACGGGUUAGCAACAAGCUCCACGGCAAUUGUAAGCCUCUUGCGUUGCUCAGUUGACAGACCAUUCACUCCAGGAAGCCCAACAAGUGCACCCCUCAAUGAUGUGAGCUCUACUAGAUCCAUGACCUCCUCGAUGAACAUCUGGCAUCACAGUUCAGCCGGAAGCCGCAGCCAUGCGGAAAAUAUGAGCGAUUCAUAUACUGUCACAUGUGGAGAAUGAAUAUCAUUUUGCUCACAGUAUCCUGAGAUACGUGCAAAGGUCUCUUGCUUCUUUGGAUAGCCUGAUACGGUGAUUUCUCCCUCUAUGUAUCCUCCGGUUUUCCUACCGGCUAAAACAUCCAUCAGGGUUGUCUUUCCAGCACCACUCACACCCAUUAAUGCAGUAAGUACUCCUGGCCUAAAAGAACCACUGACACCCUUUAAAAGCAACAAGCGGUCUUCCGUUACUCCUUGUGCUUUCAUUGCCUGUGAAUAUAAAGCAUUAUAACUGGGUAAGCAAACUUGGUUAAUGGGUACACAAUCAUACUUGUGCGAUCAUUGUUCAUUGAUAAGAAAUUUACCUCUGGCAUGUCCACCGAGUAUUUUGUGUCGUUAAAGGUAAGUGACAGUGGUGUAAAUGGAAGUACUAGUCCCUUCCUGCUGCCACUAGAAUCCACACCACUAAUCGCUGAGUUUCGGUCACUAAUGUGAGAUAAUUCCAGUUCUUGCGUCCUAGAAUUCUUUUCCUUAUGAUCCUCUAGAGCUUUACCACUUAAAUUUGCAUGUUUUUCUUUCAGUUCCUCUUCAGACAUUGAUGGGUGAGAGUCUGUCAACGCUGCAAAGAAAAGCAAGUGGCUACAGUUAUUAUCAUAUAAGGUUGAAGAGGAGAGUGUAUCCAACCAUGGCACCAAGCCCAAUCCAAUACCACUUGGCUUCUGUAAAGAUGCCACGACUCUUAAGCACGGCAGAGGGGACUUACUUGGUUCCAACUGGGUCCUAGAAAUUCGUUUGUUGAGAGAGCGUUUUGUGCAUAUGAUAGCGGAGAUAUCCAGUAACCCCAAAUCCACCACUUUUUGAUACUAGCUGGAAAUGAAAAAUAAGAUGGUCAUGUGAGCAACAAUUAACAUUUAGUUCCAUCAUUGUCGUGUAAACAUGGCAACAUCCAUUUUAUCAUGUCCGAGUCAGUAACUUACGUCUUGCAA